UACGUAGGGAGCAAGCGUUGUCCGGAAUCAUUGGGCGUAAAGCGCGCGUAGGCGGCCCUGUAAGUCCGUUGUGAAAGUCAAAGGCUCAACCUUUGAAAGCCGAUGGAUACUGCAGGGCUAGAGUCCGGAAGAGGCGAGUGGAAUUCCUGGUGUAGCGGUGGAAUGCGCAGAUAUCAGGAGGAACACCAAUAGCGAAGGCAGCUCGCUGGGACGGUACUGACGCUAAGGCGCGACAGCGUGGGGAGCAAACAGG
rnacentral:rRNA from 1 species